GGUCAGUGCAUGGGUUCAGAUGAUCUGAGGUAAGAGUCACACACUGAAUAUGAUCAUAGUUAACUGUAAGUGGAGUAAGUGGAGUAUUGUCCAGUAUUAUUGUGUGCAGUGGUGUGUACAAUUCAUUGGUAUUUUUAAACUGGCGUGUAAAUAAUUUUAACAGGAUAACACCUGUUAAAUGGGGUCCUCAAAUAUCGCAUUAUAACAUUGCCUUAUGAACUGAAAUCGUAUGAUAUAUGUGUGUGUGUGUGUGUGUGUGUGUGUGUGUGUGUGUGUGUGUGUGGAAGCCUGAGGUUUACACAUCUGCUAUUCUCGACUGAGAUACUAUACGCACAAUGCCCUAAGUGUUUUUAUGCGGGAUGUACUGUUCCAACGCUUGUGGUAAUUAAUGCUCACUCUUAGUGCUAGCGUAACUUUGGAAACCCGUAAACUACACUAGCGUAAACAAACACAGUGAAGACAGCACUGCCUGGACAAACACAAGCUCCGUGCUAAAGGAACGUCAGGGUUUCAGCAGUAAACCUGACUCUAAUGACUUUUCGGUUUGAAUCAGGAGCUCCGUGUUGCUUAUCGUGCAACAGAUGAGUGAAUAAACAAGCGCACACGGUGAACUGCUGUGUAACUGAUUGUGAUGGAUUUCACACACACACACACACACACACACUCACACACACACACACACUCCACUCCACUGGAUCUUACUCUCCACUAGAUUCUGUGCACGAACUGCACCAAAUUUGGUUUUGAUCUCCCCCUGUGUCGCCGCCUCUCACAGGCGGAGCGAGCGCUUAUCUCUGAAUUAUUGAACGAGUCUCCGUCUCAGUGUGUUUCAGAAGCACGGUGUAUUCGGCAUUAAGCAGCCCCCCUGUCAGAAACCUAUUUAAUAAUACACAGAGGAGCACAAACACACUUUCAAAUUGAGAGCGAUUGCACGGCGUCCCUGAAGAUGAUCGUUCGUUCAUCCCUCCGUCUCGCCCUCUGUCUGUCUGAGUGAAGAAUGAGCCGGGAUUCACAAAGUGAACGCUUCAAAUCACAUUCCUGUCAGAGCAAACAGGAGGAGAGGAGAGGACACUGUGCAUGAAGAGUCAGUACAAACACACACACACACACACACACUGACAUACACAUACUCACACUAUACGCACACACACAAAUGGGAUUUUUAGAGUGUAUGCAAGUUCAAAUCCCAGAACUGCCAAGCACGUCAGUAAUUAAGUCAGUGAGUAAGUCAGUAAAUUAGUAAAUCAGUAAUUAAGUCAGUGAGUAAGUCAGUAAAUUAGUAAGUCGGUAAUUAAGUCAGUAAGAAGGUCAGUGAGUAAGUCGGUAAAUUAGUAAGUCAGUAAUUAGGUCAGUAAUUAAGUCAGUAGUUAAGUCAGUAGGUAAGUCAGUGAGUAAGUCGGUAAAUUAUUAUGUCAGUAAUAAAGUCAGUAAGUCAGUAAUCAAGUCAGUGAGUAAGUCAGUAAAUUAGUCAGUAAUUAAGUCAGUAAGUCAGUAAAUUAGUUAGUCAGUAAUUAAGUCAGUGAGUAAGUCAGUAAAUUAGUAAGUCGGUAAUUAAGUCAGUAAGAAGGUCAGUGAGUAAGUCAGUAAAUUAGUAAGUCGGUAAUUAAGUCAGUAAGAAGGUCAGUGAGUAAGUCGGUAAAUUAGUAAGUCGGUAAUUAGGUCAGUAAUUAAGUCAGUAAUUAAGUCAGUAGUUAAGUCAGUAAUUAAGUCAGUAGUUAAGUCAGUAAUUAAGUCAGUAGGUAAGUCAGUGAGUAAGUCAGUAAAUUAGUAAGUCAGUAAUAAAGUCAGUAAGUGAGUCAGUAAAUUAGUAAGUCAGUAAUUAAGUCAGUAAUCAAGUCAGUAAGUAAGUCAGUAAUCAAGUCAGUGAGUAAGUCAGUAAUUUAGUUAGUCAGUAAUUAAGUCAGUAAGUCAGUGAGUAAGUCAGUAAUUAAGUCAGUAAUUAAGUCAGUAAGUUAGUAAGUCAGUAUUUAAUUCCGUAAGUGAGUCAGUAAGUUAUUAAAGAGUAAGGCAGCACAUGAGUCAUUAAUUCAUUAAGUGAGUAAGUUGCUAAGUUAGUGAGUUAUUAAGUCUGUAAAUUAUUAAGUCAGUAAUUAAUUCAGUGAGUCAUUACAUUAUUAAAUAAGUGAGACGGUUAGUAAGUUGGUAAGUCAGGAAGUAAGUGAGUAAUUAAGUCAGUAAGUGAGUCAGUUAGCUAUUAAGUCAGUGAUUAUGUCGGUAAGUCAGUAAUUUAGUAAAUCAGUAAAUUAGUACAUCAGUGAGUAAGUCAGGAAGUAAGUGAGUAAGUGCUAAGUUAGUAAGUCAGUAUGUUAAUAAGUAACGUUAAUAAGUAUGUUCUUAAUGAGUUAGUUAACGUUAAUGAGUAAGUCAGUAAGUGAGUAAGUACUAAGUUAGUAAGUCAGUAAGUUAAGUCAGUUAUUAAAUGAGUCAGUAAGUGAGUGAGUCAGUCAGUCAUUAAGCAGUCAGCUUUAGUAAGCUGCCACUGUAGUGCCC
ensembl:lncRNA